rnacentral:lncRNA from 1 species
GAUCGGAGAAGAUGAAGACGAUUCUUUCUUCCGAAACGAUGGACAUCCCCGACAGUGUUACCAUCAAGGUUCACGCUAAAGUGAUCGAAGUCGAAGGACCUCGCGGGAAGCUUGUUCGCGAUUUCAAGCAUCUCAACCUCGAUUUCCAGCUGAUCAAGGAUCCAGAGACUGGAAAGAAGAAGCUUAAGAUCGAUUCGUGGUUUGGAACACGCAAAACCAGCGCCUCCAUCAGAACCGCUCUUAGCCACGUCGAUAACUUGAUCUCCGGUGUUACCAGAGGUUUCCGUUACAAGAUGAGGUUCGUGUACGCCCAUUUUCCCAUCAACGCCUCCAUCGGCGGUGACGGAAAGUCUAUCGAGAUCCGUAACUUCCUUGGCGAGAAGAAGGUUUGUUUUAUCUUCUUCAUCUCUGAUUUGAUUCUCAUAGAUUCGUGUAGAUCUCGGAAUGAAAUAGACUGACACUAGAUUCAACUUUAUGAUUGGACGAUGAUGAUUGAUUUCUGAGUUUGCGAGCACUGAACUUACAUAGAAAUGUGUUUAUUGGAAUAAUAGGUGAGGAAGGUAGAGAUGUUGGAUGGUGUAACCAUUGUUCGAUCUGAGAAGGUGAAGGAUGAGAUUGUUCUUGACGGUAACGAUAUCGAGCUUGUUUCAAGGUCGUGCGCUCUGAUCAACCAGGUACUCCAUUCUUUAACUAGUAGAUAUCACAAUUUUGUUUUAAUGAUCUGAAGAUAUCACAAUUCUCUCAUAGUCUACUAUAUCCACAACAACUUGAAAUUAAUCUUGGGUCGAAAAGAUAGAGCCGUUGUGUAGUAUAGGAGACGUAGAUUUCUUUUGUUUUGGUUGAUGUUUGAGUUUGGGAUCACAUUUUGCAUAGUGAAAUCGAACUGAUUCAUCUAUAACUGAUUUAAUGCGCUCUGGUCAACCAAUAUUUUAUUGGUUAAAAUGUGUUUCUCAUAGUCUUGUACAAUAUCAACUAGGAAUAUUCUGAGCUAACUUGGCCGAGUUUGCAUAUUGUUGUAUGAAGGAAAGCAUAAGCGAUUGUGUUUAAAAAUGAUUCUUUGUUGACAAUUUAACUUUGUUGUCAUAUAUUUCAUAGUUGAACUGACUUGAUUCUUUAUGUUUUACUGUCUUAUGUAACUGCUAUGGUUUGCAUUAUUGUGCAGAAAUGUCACGUGAAGAAGAAGGAUAUCAGGAAGUUCCUUGACGGUAUCUAUGUUAGCGAGAAAAGCAAGAUCGUAGAGGAAGAAUGAAUACUCAUAUUCCCCUCUUAGCUCAUAUUUCUUGUGUUUGGAAUGUUGUUAGUUUUGUUUUAUGGACCAAAUCCACCGGUGAUGUAAACCUUGCCUUUUUUUUGUUCGAGAAUUUAUUAACUUAUGCAACAAGUUUUGGAGACAAUUAGAGACCCAUUCACUCUCACACUUUUGCCAAAUUACAUCUUCUCGGAUGAAUUUUGAAUUCUGAAGAAUUUGGUUGUGUUUUUGAAUUCCAGAACAUUAUAAUCCAUUGUCCUGAAUGAAAACGCCCACAAAUUUAGAGGGUGUUAUCGGUUCCUAAUUUACAAGAAAUUUUGAUGACUUUAGUUAAAUCUUUGAAAGUAAAGAAAUGAAAGAUUAUAAACGAUUGUUAGAGAGUUUUUUGAUAAUCUUGUUGAUUAGUUUUUUAUAAUUUUGUAAAGUUUUCCAAACAAUCUCUCUAUUUUAAUAAUAUUUUCCAUGACUUUCCAUGACUUCAUUUUGUAAAGAAAAGUGUAGGAAAUCAUGAACCAAUAACACAAUAAUUUAAAUCAUUAACAAUCAUUAAAAAUCAAAGAUUCUUUUGUUUUAAUUGAAUAACACAAAACUUUUAAUGAUUUAAUAAAAGUUCGUAUCUAAUAACCCAAAAUUUAUGAAGAUUUUAGAUUACUUUUUACAAAUCUUAAACGAAUAACACAAAACUUUAACAUACUUUAAAAAAGUCUUGAUUGAAUAACAACAGAUUUUACAUGACAAUUUAAAUCAUUAAAACUCUUUUGAAAUCAUAAACGAAUAACACCCUAUUAAUAUUUAGUCAAAUUAAUACUCAUACUUUUUCUAACUUAAAUUUAAUACUCAAAUACUUUUUCAAAUACUCAAAUUUAAUAUUUAACAAAACUUUUUCAUUUGUUACUCAAAUAAACUUUUAUAAUUCUAGCUGGGAAAAUUUCCAAAAAUAAACUUCAACUAUUUAAUAUUUGCCAGAAUUCUUUUUUUUUCUUUUCUCGUUGCCUAAAAUAAUCUAAUCUAGUUUACGGCCCAUAAAACAAAGGGUUAUUGAGUUUAUAGUCAUAAACUAAUUGCAUUCUCAGAUUUUCCUCAAUGGAUUAUAAAAUCAGCCAUAAACCCUAUAAAAUCAGUCAAUUUUUUUUUUCAUCCUAAAACAAACACAAACUAUUCUUUAUUUUCUAAUUUCUCUUCGUCUUCGUUAUGGCCGUUAACGACAUCGUUGACGUCGUUACUAUUUUUGAGAAAAUUUCUAACCCAAAUUAUGAAAUUUUGCUUGAAAAAAAUACCUGAAUUUCUAUUUCCUUGCCAUAAAAUAACACAUAUCAACAUUUUUUUUUCUCUUCUUUUAUUCCAUUAACAAUGUAAGAUGGUCAAAUGUCAUAACUUUAUGUGCUCUCUUGAACCUCAUACAAGUUCUCAUUACUAUUUAGGACAAUUAAAUUCAACAACAAAAAUACACAAUUAGAUUAGUCUAUUUCUAUUUUUUUCAAUACCCAAACUAAACCCAUAUCGAAAAAACCCGAUUUGGGCGAGUAAGAGUUUCAGGAAUGUACCUCAUUGGAUAGAGUUCGGGUCGGUCCGGAUCAGAGAUUGCCCAUUACACACACCGGAUAUCCAUAAACCCGAUAUAAGGUAUGUGUAUAUAUACGGUAUAGAUAUAGUUUUAUACAUUUAUAGACUAGUUUACCUUUUGCAUGCUUGAUUGAAUUACCCAUGCAUCAGUUUCCAACAAGGCUACAAUCCUACUUCUCGUUGUAGUUCUAUACUUUUUAUUUUCAGAUAGUCGGAUUUAUGUUUUCAAAUUCAUUAUCGGAUUACUCACUCUUAAUUCUAAGUAUUACACUUUGUGAUUUUGGAUUGGAUUUGGAUGUCAAGUUUGAAGUGUUUUAUUCUCUUUAUUACUCACAUUUUGGGUUUACGGUUAAUUUUUAUCCAUUCAGACCCGAACCCGAAAGAAUUCAAAAUUUUCAAGUAUUUACCGGUUCUCAGACUUAGUACCCAAUCUAACCCGAAUCCGGGUGUACCUAAUCCGAACCGGAACUGAAUAUAUGCAAUUACCCUAAGAGUAGUAAAUCCAUUACCCAUUUAACCGGAACGGGUUAUCUAUAUGCCCAUUCCUAGAUUUGAUCUUAGAUCUAUACAAGCUUUACAAAUUUUGAGAUUUCAUCGACACUGGAAUUCUAAAUUUCAUGAGAGCUUAAAAAAACUUUGUAGAUCUUCGUAGAUUCUCUAUAUAAAACGAAAAAAUUAAUUCAAUCAAGCAAAACUCACCAAAAUUGAAGCUUUAAAACCGCAACAUGAGAAUAAAGCAAAGAGAACAAAACAAAGCUGAUAUUCGAACGGGACAUAAAUAUCUGAUAUAUUUGUAAAUGUUUUGAGUUUUGUAUCCAAUUAUACCCAAAAUCUAGCAAAAGAUCUGAAAUUUAACCAUAAUCCACCAAAAAAACAUACCAGUAUUUCAGGUAUUCAGGUACUUGUUCAGGUAUGAGAUACAAUCAAGUAUGAAAUACACGAACUGAUUAGUACCCAUUUUUAGGGUAUUUAUAACUUCUAAAAGUCUAAACCUGAUUCGUCCUAAACUUGAAUGACCGAAUCAAACUGAACCAAUUUUGUAUAUUUACUCAAUUAAGUCCUAAAAUCCUCUAUCUGAUUUGAACGCGAUCGACUAGAGUACAUGAAUACAGAAUAUCCAAUCAUAUCCACCAUAAAGGAUACUAAACUCUCCGAUUUGAAUUACCCGAAUCCAAAAAAGCCGAAUAACGUGCAUUUUGUUUGUAUUUGAUUAUAUUAAUUUGCAUAUCUAUGGGCUGUUAAUGCCAAUAAUAUAUUUUGGGUGUUCUUGGGCUUGAACUUUAUUGGGCUAGGAAUGGUUGUAUAUUUAACCCUACUUCUGAUUAGUCUCUUAGUAAAGAAACUAGGGUUUUCGUCGCCGUCAUUUUUCUUGACCUAAAGAGCGAUCAAUUGAGAAGGAGAGAGAGAACAAAACUUCCGUCAUUCCAGCCUUAUAUUUUAACGGGACAUGGGCAUAUUGCAAAUAAUGUAUUUUCUCAUUUUUGGUUACUAGGCUGCGUUUUGAAAAACCCACCUGAACGAUGUUUAGGGUUUCUGUUUUUCGUUAUACUUUUUAUAAGGGCGCCGAUAAAUCGUUUUCUAGGGUUUAUUUGAUUAAAAAGAGAGCCGCCGUAAAACAUUAACGUUGUUUAGGGUUUGUAUUUCAUAUAUUUUUAAAAUGCCGUCGACAAAACCUUUUCCUAGGGUUUCUGUCUUUGAUCAAACCAAAAACAACAAAUUUGAUAAAGAUAGCAAAUCAGGAAUCAGAGAAAUUGGUGUAUGCCGGUGACCAAAGUAUUCUCAACAUACUAGAAUGAUUCAUAAAAAUACGAGGAUUUUUUUUCUUUCUUUCGGGUAUUUCUUUCAUUCCAUACAAUUCAAAGUCAAAGAUGAACACCUAAUUGUGCGUUGAAAAAAAAAGACAUAAUGUGCACAUUUUGAUCUAUAUAUAAUUAAUUAUGUAAAUUUUAUACCUCAUGUUUAUUUUUAAUCAGUUUAUUUAUAUAGACAAAAAAAUGAUUCACAAAUCACAAUGAUGGAUCUUGUUGUUAAAUUAUUUAACUACAAAUUAUAUUAAAGUAAAUUAGGAUAGUCCGAUGUGCGAGUUUUAAAGUUUUAUAAUUAAAUUCUUAAAAUAUACCGAUAAUCUUUUAGUUAGAGAAGAUAAAUAUUUAUAUAUUCUUUAUAACAAAAAAAUAUAUUUUUAUAUUUGUUUUGCUUUAACUUAUUUGCAGCUCUAUAUUUUAAUUUUAUUGUAAGAUUAUAUUACAAUAAACACUACAAGAAAACUGUCAUUUUGCGAGGGAAGAAUUACUCGCUAAUCCCUCGCAAACAGCCAUACGCGAGGGACUUGCGAGGAAAUCAAGUUCCUCGCAAAUGGUAAAAAGUUGCAAUUCCCUCGCAAUUUUUGCGAGGAACUGUUUUCCUCGCAAAACACACGCAACACAGUUCUAGUAUUUCCCUCGCAACUGUUGCGAGGGAUUUGCGAUUCUUUUCUUUCUGCCUAGCAAAUCCAUCACAAACAACUGAUUUCCUGAUAUAUUAAGGCUUGAUUAGUGGUUAAUUAGACUCUAAUUAUCUGGUUAAUUAGUUGUUGAUUAGAGAUUAUUUUUGAUUCUUAAAUAAAGACACAAGAAGAAGAAGAAGCUGAAAUUAUCAUUAUCUAAAAUGUAUUCUACAAUGCCAAUAUUUGAAACCAUGUUCUAAAAAGAUUACAAGGAAAAAAGAGAAAGACAAUGUUCUCAAAAUACUGAUGAUGGAGAGGAUCCUGUUGCAAGGUUAGCUAGGGCAGCAGCAGCAGGUGUCUCCUCAUUGGCUUGCUGUUCUGGAGUUGUAGCUACAGGUGGUUCAUUUGCGCUAACCGGUCUUGUCUGUGUCGAGGAACCUCAUCGAAGAAUGGCAGCUAAAGCUGGAUCUUUCUCAGCAAGAUAGUCAAAGAGGAUAUCAAAGUUGUUGAUCUUCUCAGCCUGAUUUUGAAUGCAAGCUUCAGCGGCAGCCAGCUUCGCAGAAAGUAUAACCGGAUCAUCACUAGGAAGUGUUGGACCACUAUGAACUGAGGAUGCUUCAAACUGCAGAGAUCCAACACCAUAAAUCCUUCCUUUCUUUCUCGGAGCAACCUGCAAAGGUCACAAAAACUCACAAGGACACAACAGAAAACAAGUGAGAAAACAAGUUCAACACAAGACAAAAGAAUUCAAACACAAUAAGCUGUCAAGAUUUCAGACAACACAAUAAGUUGUCAAUAAGAUUUCAGACAACACAAUAAGAUUUCAGACAACACAAUAAGUUGUCAAUAAGAUUUCAGACACAACUAGACAACGCUAACAGUGAUUAUCAAGUAGACAACACAACCACACUUGCAAUAGAAAGCAAUUCAAACACAACACUACACAAAGUAUAAUGAAUAAGCUGUCAAGAUUUCAGACAACACAAUAAGCUGUCAAUAAGAUUUCAGACAACACAAUCAGAUUUCAGACAACACAAUCAGAUUUCAGACACAACUAGACAACGCUAACAGUGAUUAUCAAGUAGACAACGCUAACAGUGAUUAUGAAGUAGACAACAGAAAGAGCACAUAAAAUUUACCUCAGUAAAUAUCUUGUUUUUGGCAUGAACAGAAAGUCCACCUGAUCCAGUGCUCUCCGGAUUGUCCCCUGAACCCAUAUGAGACUCUUCCUCUUCAAUCCUAGAUGUUACUUGCUUGUAGAUCUCCUCUGACUUCCCAUCGAUGAAGCUUCCAUCCGCUUUUCUGUGUGUCUCAUCUAGCAGCUCAAGGAAAUCAGGAGUUUUUUCUCCAGUCUUCUCACACUGAAACACAAAGAGAUAAACAAGAUGUCAGUAUGUAAUUCUAGAUUAAGUAAUGGUAAGGAGAGAAGAAUACUUAUCUUACUCGUUUUCUUGCACGGGCUUUGUAUGAGGUCUGGCCUGAACGGUGUUUAUAGAUGCCUUUGCCAUCCGGAUCAUGAUACCUAGCAUUUCUGCUGUUGUUACUCUUUUUUUUCUGACUUUGGAUCUUGCCAAAACAGUACAAGACCUUUCCACACAUCAGGAUCAAUCCAUUUUGGCUUAGCUUCAUCACCUUUCUCCUUCCAAUUUCCCUUCCACCGUGACACUUGAUCAGUCAUCCUAGACUUUAGCUUUGCUUCAAACUCAACCCUUACUCUUUUGUUAAUUGAACGGUCCCAGUUAUAUACUUGCUACAAAAGAGAAGCUAACAUCAGAAAUGAAACCAUACACAAAACAAGCAUAAACAUCAAAAGAGCACAGAACUUACCGCAAACGUUUCAUACCAUCGAUCGAUUGUAGCCUUUGAUGUUUGUGACCAAUUGGCAUGAGGUUCUUUGAAAUCUCUUUCAAAGAUGAUGCGGACUGUUGCUGCAACUGCAGGGUCAUCGUCAAACCUACAAGAAGACCAACCAGCCCACACAUAAGGAUUUCUAUGUCUUUAAACUUCUAAGACAUCACAAUGCUAAGUACAACCAAGCUGUUCUAUUUGUUGAAACUUCUAAGGCACUACAACCUAAGGCACUACAACCUAAUUCCAUUACGCUCCAAGGCACUACAAAGUUCUAAGGCACUACAACCUAAGCUGUUCUAGGACAAUGAAUUUAACCUUACCAGAGAGUUCCCGGAGGACGCUUUGGGUCUAGCCUUGUCAAGCCAGCACGACCAGGACUAUCAAGAAGCUCCUCCAGUGUGAGAUUGUUGAGACGCUCAGCUUGAGAAUCACAAUCAUUGACAGAAGGCUGAGUGGUUGGCGUUGGAGGCGAUGGUGGAUGGCGUGAACCUUGAACCCCUGAAAUAUUCCCAGCACUGACAGGAGAAUUGACAUGCAACGAGUCUCCCUGCUGUGACCUAUAUCGUGCAUAAGUAUUCUCCGACGACGACAUCUUGCAAAACAAACAAAACCCAGAAGCGAUGAAGAAGAAGUUAGAUCGGAGAGAAGCAGAAGCAGAAGCAGAAGCAGAACAAAUGAUUGACAGAGUUUAGAUCCGUAAACUAGAACAGAUUAGAUCUGGAAAACAAUGUCAGAUCGGAGAUGAAGAAGAAGUUAGAUCGGAGUGAAGCAGUUAGAUCGGAGAAGAAGACGUUACCUUGGAGGCAAAAGAGAUCGAGUCGCGACUUGUGCUGGAGAAGAAGAGUCGCGACGGCUGCUGGAGAAGAAGAGUCGCAACGGCUGCUGGAGAAGAAGAGUCGCGACGACUGCAGGAGAAGACGAGACGCGACGGAGAAGAAGAAGAAGUUAGAUCGGACGGUGGAAGUUGGAAUGGAAAGAAGAAGUUAUAUCGGAGAAGAAGAGGUUACCUUGGAGAAGAAACAGAUCGACUCGCAGCUGAACCUGGAGAAGAAGAGUUGCGGCGGCUGCUGGAGAAUAAGAGGCGGCGACGUAAUCAGAUCGAAGAAGAAGAGAGGCGACGGCGAAGAAAAUAGAUCGGAGAAGAAGAGAAGCCGGCGACGAGGAAAACAGAUCGGAGAAGAAGAGAAUCGAAGAAAAAAAAUUAGGUUUAGUAUAUAUAAGCAUAUAUAUCCUCGCAAAUCCCUCGCAAACCUUGCUAGGAAAUUGCGAGGAACCGUCUUUUAAACCAAUCAAAAUGCAGCUUACAUUGCGAGGGAACUGCGAGAGCGCCUAGCAAAUCCCUCGCAGACCUUGCUAGGAAAUUGCGAGGAAUCGUAUUUUAAACCAAUCAAAAUUCAAUAAUUAUAUUUGAUUCAGUCUCUCCUAUUUCUAGUAAGACCCUCAGCAAAAUAAGAACAUGACUAAAAAUUCUAAAUAUUUUAGGGUUUAGUGUAAAUAUUGCGAGGGAACUGCUACGCGUACUAGCAAACACCUCGCAAUUUCCUCGCAAUGUAUAAUCAAUUUUGAAAAAUACAACAAUCACUAUUCAAAAUCAUUUGGAUUCAUUUUUUUUAAUCAUUAGAACGUUAAUUAUCUACAUUUGAACCUAUUUUAUCAUCAUAUAAUUCGAAUGUGUUUUUUCCCCAAAUACAUCAAUGAUGAUCUUAUGGUUUUCAUUAAGUAUGAAUCAUGAAUGUUUAACAUUUUCAAAAUGAAAUGUUGAUAUUGAAACCAAUACAAUAUUUUUUUGUUCAAACCAUAUAAUCAACUUGAAUGAUUAUAUGGUCACUUAGAUUCAUAUCUAUAAAUGAGAAUCGAAGAUUGCAAUACACUUUUAUGUAUUUUAGGGUUUAGGGUAAAGAUUUGCGACGUAUCUGCUUGGGAUUUGCGACGGAUAAUAUCUUUCUUGCGAAACCAUCGUACUUCCAUCGCAAAUUUGCGAGGAAGUCUUCCCUCGCAAGUUUUGCGACGGAAUUGCUACUCGCGUGCGGUACGUAGCAAGUUUCUCGCAAUAUCCUCGCAAUAAUUGCGAGGAAUGCCUUCCCUCGCAAACCUUCCUCGCAAAUUGACUGUUUUCUUGUAGUGAAACUAGUACAUUUAAAUUACUAAUCUUUAAAACUUUUUGCCAUAUAUAUUCAUCAUUAAUUUAUUGCCUAAUCUCAAAAAAUAGUUUCGCAGUCUCGCCUAAAAUAUGAAUCAACCACUUCUUGAGAAAAUGUUUUACCUGUAGACCACCAGUCAGGUUAUUUUAAUCUAUUUACAAAUCUACUAUCUACGUUACAACUAAAAAACGUAUCUAUGAGUACAUUAAGCCUAUCAGUUUCAAUCCAAUCAUAUUUUACUACUGAAAUAUGUUCUAUGAACACCUACAAAAUGUAUAUAUGAACACAUUAAGCCAAUUAUAUUCUUAUUUUGUUUAUGUCCAACUAUAUGUCUCUUCAUUUACACUUUUGCAUAGUUUCUUCAACCACUAAAUGUUUUGACUCAACAAAUAUUUUGAACAAAAAAAUAUAUCAUAUAGCAAUAAUUGAUGAUGUAUUUACAAGAAAACUAAAUUAAGUAAAAAAACUACUUGAUUAGAAUGCGUUUAUGACCAACCAAUAAACUAAAGGUUGAGAAAUUAAAAGAAAUUAAUUUGACGUAACUAAAAAAAUAAUAUAAAUGAGUCUUAGAUAAUUCAAAGAUAGAAAUAUAAAUGAAAGUAACAAUCUAAAAUACGACCACUAAAUUAAAAGUAAAUAGACAAAGAAAAAUCAUAUAUCGAUCUUACCAUAUACAAAUUACAAAUUUGUUUCAAAUCAACACAUAUUUCUAAUUAAAAAAAAACAAAUUGAAAUAUAUAAUGUAAAAUUUUACAUUAAAUCAUGACACAUGUAGUAGUCUAAUUUUUUUAGUACAAUGAUAUAUGAUAAUUAAGUUUUAUAUAAUUCAAAUACAAAAAAUCAAUACAAAUAAUCUUGAAAACAAAAAUUAAAUUAUAAAUUUUAGGAAGACGAUGAUUUAUAAAUCUUUAAUAAUUCAAUGCAUGCCACGAUAAUGUGAUAACUUUGUAGCUGUGUAUAAGCACACCUAGAGAUGGAGAUAACACCUAGAGAUGGAGAUAGAGAGAGAGAAAGCUUCAGGAGGAGAUGAAGAAGAUGAGAGGAGGUGCAGAUUUGGGGAUGUUUUUUUCUUUUUUUUUCGGUCCAAUUUUUUUUUUUCUGGAUGGAUUGAUCAACUUUACAAAAUCUCUGGCAAAUAUUUGGUAGAUUUUUAUUUUAUUUUCAUUGCUUUAACUUAUGAAUAAAUCUAUAUUUUGAAAAAUAAAAAGCUUGUGUACUUCUCGAAUGUUUAUGGUCUUAAUAUUGCUGCUUGCUUCGUUUUGGUCGCAUGAUUUUAAAUUUACUAGGUUAUAAAUCCACGCGUAAUUUUUUUAUCAAAAUUGAUUCUUAACUCUAUUGAUUUUUAUAAUUUUUAAUAUGGUAUAUUUAAAAUAAAAUGUUUACUUUAUUAGAAAUUUUAAUACUAUAAUCAAUAAUAUAUACUUUUCACCAAAUUAUAUUACGCGUGGGUUCAAAACCAAGUGUUAAUUACUUUGAAAAGCAAAUUUUAUAUAAUAAAAUUUUAAAGUAUGAUAUACUCAUAACUUGAUUUUUUUUUUUUUGCCGGCUACUCAUAACUUGAUUUGGUGCUAUUUAUGACAAUUUCUCUAAUUUAUUCGACUUUUGUUAUUUUGUUCUUUAAAGCAAUGAUAAAUUAUUAUUUGGUCUGGCCCGGAACGGACUGCUUUCAAAUGGACCGGGCCGCCAGCCCACAUACUAACUCAUUUAGAUAUAAGUUUCUUCUAACCUCUCUUUCUCUAAAAAGCUGUCGGCGAGUGGGAGAAGCGCAGAGAGAGCAAACAAAGAGCAAACUUGAAUUAUUUCUCCGUUGGCUUUGUUUGAAAAUAUAUAAAAAAAACAAUUAACGGGCCAUGAGCUUGUUGCAAAUAAUCUAUUUAUUUUUCAUUUUAGGAUUUUUGUUUCUCGACACGAGUUGAGCUGAUUUUGAUAAGCCCACAUGACAUUGUUUUAGAGUUUCUGUUUUUCUUCUUUAUACUUUUUAAAAUGCGGCCAGUGAAUAAUUUUCUAAGGUUUAUGCUUUAAUACAAGUUAAAUAAUUUUUUUGUAAAUAAUUUUUUGUUGGAAUGUCAAAUUUAUUCAACAAAAGAAAAUGAUUACAAAGAGUUUUGAAAGGUAAAAAAUGGAGAAAAUAAACGUGAAAAGUAGAAACAAAAAUGAUGAAAUUGGCGCCACUUACAUCAUUAUAGAAAGUUCAAAAGGCCUAAUUCUGACACAAUAUUAUUAACGGGUCAUGGGCUUAAUGACAAUAAUAAACUUUUCUCACUUUUGAGUUUUAAUAAGCCCACAUUUGCUUUAGGGUUUCUGCGUCUCUAUCUUUAAAUUGCUUCCGACGAUUCAUAAACUAGGGUUUCUGCCUUUAGCCGUCGUGAGAGAGAGAGCAAAUCGAAGAGAGAGCAAAGAGAAAAUAAUAUGUUGUUUGCGUUUGGUACGGUGACUCGAUCUGUGGCUAAUUCAGUGGUGGUUUGCUACGGCUUUCUUUCGACAAUGGUGUUUUCUUUCGACCUAAACUUGAUAGACCGAACCAAACUGAACCAAUUUUUAUAUAUAUUUACUCAAUUAAAUCCUAAACUCCUCUAUUUGAUCUGAACCCGAUCAACCCGAAUACAUAAAUAUCUAAUCUUAUCCAUCUGAAAGGAUACUAAACUCUCUAAUUCGAAUUACCCGAAUCCAGAAAAAGCCGAAUAGCAUGCAUUCUAUUGGUACUUGAUUAUAUUAAUUGGCAUAUAUAUGACCUGUUAUUGCCAAUAAUAUAUUUUGGGUGUUUCCUGGGCUUCAGUUUUAUUGGGCUAGGAAUGGGUGUACUUUUAAACCCACUUCUGAUUAGUCUCUUAGUAAAACCCACUUUUAAACCCACUUCUGACCCACUUCUGACGCCGUCAUUUUUCUUGAGAAGGAGAGAGAGCACCACUUCCGUCAUUCCAGCCCAAUAUUUUUAACGGGCCAUGGGCUUAUUGUAAAUAAUGUAUUUUUCUCAUUUUUGGUUUUCUUUAUGGGCACGAUUUUAGUGGGCUGAAUUUUGAUAAAGGCCCACAUAUGAAAGAUAUUUAGGGUUUUUUCUCUUGAUACCUUUUAAAACGCCGUCGAGAAAUCUCCCUCUAGGGUUUCUUUGAUCAAACCAGAGAGCCGUCAGGGAGAGCAAAACAAAGAUCGGAGAAGAUGAAGACGAUUCUUUCUUCCGAAACGAUGGACAUCCCCGACAGUGUUACCAUCAAGGUUCACGCUAAAGUGAUCGAAGUCGAAGGACCUCGCGGGAAGCUUGUUCGCGAUUUCAAGCAUCUCAACCUCGAUUUCCAGCUGAUCAAGGAUCCAGAGACUGGAAAGAAGAAGCUUAAGAUCGAUUCGUGGUUUGGAACACGCAAAACCA